rnacentral:rRNA from 1 species
CCUAGGGGAGGCAGCAGUGGGGAAUAUUGGACAAUGGGCGAAAGCCUGAUCCAGCCAUGCCGCGUGUGUGAAGAAGGCCUUCGGGUUGUAAAGCACUUUCAGUGGGGAAGAAAGCCUUGGGGCUAAUACCCUCGAGGAAGGACAUCACCCACAGAAGAAGCACCGGCUAACUCCGUGCCAGCAGCCGCGGUAAUACGGAGGGUGCGAGCGUUAAUCGGAAUUACUGGGCGUAAAGCGCGCGUAGGCGGUCUGAUAAGCCGGUUGUGAAAGCCCCGGGCUCAACCUGGGAACGGCAUCCGGAACUGUCAGGCUAGAGUGCAGGAGAGGAAGGUAGAAUUCCCGGUGUAGCGGUGAAAUGCGUAGAGAUCGGGAGGAAUACCAGUGGCGAAGGCGGCCUUCUGGACUGACACUGACGCUGAGGUGCGAAAGCGUGGGUAGCAAACAGGAUUAGAUACCCUUGUAGUC